GGGAGUGAUAUAAAUAGAAAGGAAUGUAAGCUCUUUUUAUAUGCAAUAACAGCAGCAAGAAUAUUAUUGGCCCAAAAAUGGAAGCAAGAUGAAUUACCAACGAUUGAAGAAUGGAGGAUGAAGUUAAUGGACUAUGCAGAACUAGAUAAACUAACAGGAAGGAUUCGAAACCGGCGGGACCAUAAAUUCACGGAAGACUGGAGUAAAUUUACGGACUAUCUGAAAAGUAUUUGUGAAGAUCAGAUGACGUUUGUAGAUUUGCAAGAAGUUUUGUGGGGAGUAUGAUUGGAAGUAUUGCAAAAAUGGAGAAGGGGAAGGAUGAUUUGUUAAGAGAUGUAAAGGCAAUAUAAAGUUAAGAAGUGGUUAAAAUGGUGGCUCAUCAGAGGUGCUGAUGAAAGUCCAAAAAGAUUGUAUAAGUGAUAAGUUUUGUGGUACAUUUUAUAAUUUAUAUGUUAAAAUCAAUAAAAAUUAUUUUUUUUAAAAAAAGAAUUGUACGGCCUGGUUCUAGCGGCUCGGUGACCAAGAGGGAAAACCACUCUGCGUGUGCUCCGGAGACAACCGCUCUUUAUUUUUAAGCAGAAUUCGGGUGGCAUUGUAAAUCAUCAAAUCGCAGAAUUCUAGAGUCGGAAGGGACACCUGAGGGUCAUCCAGACCAACCCGCUCCAAUGCAGGAAUAUUUUGCCAUGAGCAAGAACUCCCCACAUUGGAAGAUUGGCAAGUAAAGAUGGUUGAAUAUGUGGAUUCGGAAUCGCCGUGAUGAACUGUUUCCAAAGGACCGGGGGAAAAUUAUACUUUAUAGGAAAGAAAAUUGUAAACAUUUGAAAACGUGUGUCUGAGUCGAAAUGUUUGGUAAUGGGAAAUUAAGUAGCUGAUUUACUUAUAAGAAAGCGAUUGCUAAAAGAUUGAUGUAAGGUAAAAAAGUGAAUAUAGGAAUGUGAAGAAAUUGGUAAAGUGAUAUGGAAGUCUGUUAG
rnacentral:lncRNA from 1 species